rnacentral:rRNA from 1 species
AUUGAACGCUGGCGGCAGGCCUAAAACAUGCAAGUCGAACGAGUGGCGGACGGGUGAGUAAUGUCUGGGAAACUGCCUGAUGGAGGGGGAUACCUACUGGAAACGGUCGCUAAUACAGACUAACAUCAGAUGUGCCCAGAUGGGAUUAGCUUGUUGGUGGGGUAACGGCUCACCAAGGCGACGCUCCCUAGCUGGUCUGAGAGGAUGACCAGACACACUAUACCUUUGACACGGUCCAGACUCCUACGGGAGGCAUCGUUGGUGAAUAUUGCACAAUGGGCGCAAGCCUGAUGCAGCCAUGCCGAGUGUAUGAAGAAGGCCUUCGGGUUGUAAAGUACUUUCAGCGGGGAGGCGUUACCCGCAGAAGAAGCACCGGCUAACUCCGUGCCAGCAGCCGCGGUAAUAC